rnacentral:misc_RNA from 1 species
GAUGAAGAACGUAGCGAAAUGCGAUACGUAAUGUGAAUUGCAAAUUCAGUGAAUCAUCGAGUCUUUGAACGCACAUUGCGCCCCCUGGUAUUCCGGGGGGCAUGCCUGUCCGAGCGUCAUUGCUGCCCUCAAGCACGGCUUGUGUGUUGGGCCCCGUCCUCCGAUUCCGGGGGACGGGCCCGAAAGGCAGCGGCGGCACCGCGUCCGGUCCUCGAGCGUAUGGGGCUUUGUCACCCGCUCUGUAGGCCCGGCCGGCGCUUGCCGAUCAACCCAAAUUUUUAUCCAGGUUGACCUCGGAUCAGGUAGGGAUACCCACUGAACUUAAGCAUAUCAAUAAGCGGAGGA